UACGGAGGGUGCAAGCGUUAUCCGGAUUCACUGGGUUUAAAGGGUGCGUAGGCGGGCAGGUAAGUCAGUGGUGAAAUCUCCGAGCUUAACUUGGAAACUGCCAUUGAUACUAUCUGUCUUGAAUAUUGUGGAGGUGAGCGGAAUAUGUCAUGUAGCGGUGAAAUGCUUAGAUAUGACAUAGAACACCAAUUGCGAAGGCAGCUCGCUACACAAAUAUUGACGCUGAGGCACGAAAGCGUGGGGAUCAAACAGGA
rnacentral:rRNA from 1 species